UGUCCAUGAGAUGUUGUCAAACAAAGUCUUCGAAAUUCAGCUAAGGUAGUCAUCUUGGGGCAGCUUAAAUACCACACAUGCAACUUUGUCCGUUCUUUCCUACAUCGAAAAACCACAUACACCACAGAGCACUACUGAUAGAACUUCUAAAAAGAUUAAACCUUUGGAAAUAAGUGAGGUAGAAGUCAUGGCAACAACUACUGCAGCUGGUUCUUCAAAUCCAAUGCCAAAAUUUGAACCACCCACACCAACCAAAAAGGUGUAAAAGGAACUCUGUCAUGCCAUUUUGUCACUUUUGCUUAUAAUAGGGACAAUACAAUGAAUGACUCUCCCUAUGCUCUGGUUUUUUGCAUGAGGAACAUUAUCUAUGGAGAAGCAAACUGCAGCAUCCUCUAAAUAUGUCAUAAACAAUGACAUGCUAAUCUUAUUUAGCAAAACUGCAACAUGUACUAUAUUAUUUUGCUUAUAUUACAUUACUUAGUAUGUGCAAAUCGUUAAAAU